rnacentral:rRNA from 1 species
GCCGAUGCUUAUUCUUCAGGUACACGUCAUUUUGUUCCUCCCUGAAAAAAGAGGUUUACAACCCAUAGGCCGUCAUCCCUCACGCGAGAUUGCUCCGUCAGGCUUUCGCCCAUUGCGGAAAAUUCCC